AGUAACACGUGGAUAACCUACCUAUAAGACUGGGAUAACUUCGGGAAACCGGAGCUAAUACCGGAUAAUAUUUUGAACCGCAUGGUUCAAAAGUGAAAGACGGUCUUGCUGUCACUUAUAGAUGGAUCCGCGCUGCAUUAGCUAGUUGGUAAGGUAACGGCUUACCAAGGCAACGAUGCAUAGCCGACCUGAGAGAGUGAUCGGCCACACUGGAACUGAGACACGGUCCAG
rnacentral:rRNA from 1 species